UGGAGCUCUUCUGUGAGCUCAGGAUAUGGACAAAGCAUCUCAAGGCCUGCAAGAAAACCUUUCCACCCCUUCCACCUCCCUCAUCUGGAGUUUCUUGCUGAACUUUAUCACUUACAGAAAGGAGAGCGCAUUAUAAAUACUAUAUGACAGAUGGUCUGGGGGACUGCAUUAUAGUUUCAGUUUUUACAAAAGAAGUAUUUAGAAGAUUUUGGAAGAUAAACAAAUAAAACCAGGAAAUAACCAGCCAACGUGACCUAUGGAAAGCAGUAUCUGUUCUGGUUGUUAUGACUUCAGAAGACUCCUAAUAAUCUUUAGUAAGUUUUUGUAUUCCCCCUGGGAGAAGUUGAAUCUAAAGCUAGUAUAAUCAUACAAUGGAGUUAGUAGUUUGACUGAAACAGAAAGCUGUCGAACAAGGUAUAUCAACAGUUCCAUCACCUGGGAAUUGAGAAAGGAAUUGCUUUCAAGAUGCAAACUUCUCAUCUUUCCUUUACAACUGAGCUGAGAACAUACCACCAAGUUUAAUCUAUGGGAAAUGCCAACUUAGCUGUUAUAUGAAGUAGAAUGAAACAAAAGCAGAUUCCAAUUUGAGUAAAGAUGUAUUUAUUGAAGAAGUUGUAUAGACAUCUUAAUCUUCAAAGCCAUCAAAGAUCCUCACAACUUGCUAACCAGCAAGUAAAGGUAGCUAUAAUUUGCACCUCAAUCUUUACAGUGGGGACAACGGACAGAAGCAUCUGUUGCCUGUGAGCUGUGUUGACAUCAGCCAAAUGGCAGACAAACAUCAAGAAAAGAAACAGUGAAGCAAGGGCAGACAUCCUUAAAAAUAUUCAGUUGCAUAUAAGGAUGGUGGCUCACUGGUCCCAGGAGGGGACCAGCAUAUAAAUAUACAUGUAAACACUGGGUCUACUUCUCACCUUCUGAGAGAAGAGCUUGUGGGAUUUUAUUCAACAUGAUUAAUAGACAGAAGUUAUCUAUUCUGUUCAUAAGUUACCUUAUCAUAUCUUCUUCUAAGACAUGAUUACUAUGAGUCCAAUUAAGCCAUGAUGAAAAGACAGUUUGGUCCUUCAUUCAACAACUCAAGUCAACCACAAAUAUCUUAAACAGGUGGUUCAGCAUCACAGAACUAGGGAUCAAAUGAAUGCUCUCUGGAUAACAGGUUAAGUUCCGCCUCUGUAGUUACCACUUCUUUUUUUUUUUUUUUUUUUACCAUAAUAAAAAUAUUUCUAUGAGAACCAGCAGUGUAUUAAAAGGAUUCAUUCUUAAAAGAUGUAAAGAAUAGCAAGUUGACAUUGAACUGUAAAGCUACCAUGAACUUAAAUAAAAUCCUGGUAUCUCUAGUUAACUCUUCAGAAAAAUUCUCAAUAGUUUUAAAUGAAGAAGGAUUGGCUGCAUAGUUCAGAAGAGACCUAUACCUGAAAAGGAGACUCUUUUUAACCAUGAAUGUGGGUACAUACAUGAAGAUGUGAAUAGAUGACAGCAACAAGAAUAAAGCAAAAAAAUUCUUAAGGAAUCAGAAGCUUCAGUUCUUUUAAAAUCAUUAUUUCACAAAGGCUUACAAUAACAAAUGAAAACAUUAACAAGACUAUUGUUCUUUUAUUUUAUUUUAUGGCUUAUUGUAAGCUCUUUACUGUUCUGCAGCUGGCAAUAGCCUUCAUCUCCUGGUCAGUCUUGGAACUGCACUUAUUUCUCAUGUUGUUUCUUGCAUACCGAGCAAGUAAGCCUCAGAGAUUUUCUUUGCCCCUUGUUCUUGCUUUUGCAAGGAACUCAGUGCCAUUUCAGUGCAACGAACUUGUUGAAAUGCUAAAUGAACAUCUCACUCUGAGCCAACCUCUGUCCUUAGCAACAGUUUAUAACUACACUUUAUUAUUUUAAUGAGCGAUGGAAAUAGUAGGAAUGCUCAGCAGUGUUGUAAUAAUACAGCUACACUGCUCGUUCAAAUGAAAUGGUGUUAGAUAUGGAGG
ensembl:lncRNA